rnacentral:rRNA from 1 species
GAUGAACGCUGGCGGCGUGCCUAAUACAUGCAAGUCGAGCGAACAGACGAGGAGCUUGCUCCUCUGACGUUAGCGGCGGACGGGUGAGUAACACGUGGAUAACCUACCUAUAAGACUGGGAUAACUUCGGGAAACCGGAGCUAAUACCGGAUAAUAUAUUGAACCGCAUGGUUCAAUAGUGAAAGACGGUUUUGCUGUCACUUAUAGAUGGAUCCGCGCCGCAUUAGCUAGUUGGUAAGGUAACGGCUUACCAAGGCAACGAUGCGUAGCCGACCUGAGAGGGUGAUCGGUCACACUGGAACUGAGACACGGUCCAGACUCCUACGGGGGGCAGCAGUAGGGAAUCUUCCGCAAUGGGCGAAAGCCUGACGGAGCAACGCCGCGUGAGUGAUGAAGGUCUUCGGAUCGUAAAACUCUGUUAUUAGGGAAGAACAAAUGUGUAAGUAACUAUGCACGUCUUGACGGUACCUAAUCAGAAAGCCACGGCUAACUACGUG